UAGGGAAUAUUAGAAAUGGACGCAAGUCUGAUCUAGCAACACCGCGUGUGCGAAGAAGGCCUUCGGGUCGUAAAGCACUUUUUGGAAGGAAUAGGAAGGAAUGUACUUCCAGAAUAAGUCUCGGCUAACUACGUGCCAGCAGCCGCGGUAACACGUAGGAGGCGAACGUUAUCCGGAUUUACUGGGCGUAAAGCGCGUGUAGGUGGUACUGUAAGUAGGGCGUGAAAGCUCCUGGCUCAACUGGGAGAGGCCGUUCUAAACUACAGAACUAGCGGAUGGGAGAGGGAGGUGGAAUUCCAGGUGUAGCGGUGGAAUGCGCAGAUAUCUGGAGGAACACCGGUGGCGAAGGCGGCCUCCUGGACCAUUCCUGACACGCAGACGCAAAAGCUAGGGUAGCAAACGG
rnacentral:rRNA from 1 species